UGACGGUGCCUCCGACGCCGAGAUCCGGUGCCAAGAGCCCUGGUUCUUGCUCUCCGCGGUGCUCGACGCCGGAUCGCGGCGAGAUCUCGCUGUGCGAGAGCAACGCGUCCUGUUGUGACGUUGCGGAGUUGCGGCCUGAUGAUCCCGCUGUUGGUGAGGAUUCAGAGGGUUCAGUUUACUUUUCGUCACUGAGAAAAGAAAGGGGAGUGGCGACGCCUUCCAGCCAGCAAAAGGACCAUUCUUACGAUCUAGAAUCGACGGCAGAGCU